AACGACUCUCGGCAACGGAUAUCUCGGCUCUCGCAUCGAUGAAGAACGUAGCGAAAUGCGAUACUUGGUGUGAAUUGCAGAAUCCCGUGAACCAUCGAGUCUUUGAACGCAAGUUGCGCCCGAGGCCUUCCGGCCGAGGGNACGUCUGCCUGGGCGUCACGC
rnacentral:rRNA from 1 species